rnacentral:rRNA from 1 species
AUUGAACGCUGGCGGCAUGCCUCACACAUGCAAGUCGAACGGCAGCACGGGUGCUUGCACCUGGUGGCGAGUGGCGAACGGGUGAGUAAUACAUCGGAACGUACCUUAUCGUGGGGGAUAACGCAGCGAAAGCUGUGCUAAUACCGCAUACGCCCUGAGGGGGAAAGCGGGGGAUCGAAAGACUUCGCGCGAUUAGAGCGGCCGAUGCCUGAUUAGCUUGUUGGUGGGGUAAAAGCCCACCAAGGCGACGAUCAGUAGCUGGUCUGAGAGGACGAUCAGCCACACUGGGACUGAGACACGGCCCAGACUCCUACGGGAGGCAGCAGUGGGGAAUUUUGGACAAUGGGGGCAACCCUGAUCCAGCAAUGCCGCGUGAGUGAAGAAGGCCUUCGGGUUGUAAAGCUCUUUUGUCAGGGAAGAAACACCGGCUCUAACACAGUCCGGGAAUGACGGUACUUGAAGAAUAAGCACCGGCUAACUACGUGCCAGCCGCCGCCGUAA